CAGCCGCCACGGUAAUACAGAGGGUGCAAGCGUUAAUCGGAAUUACUGGGCGUAAAGCGCGCGUAGGUGGUUCGCCAAGUUGGAUGUGAAAUCCCCGGGCUCAACCUGGGAACUGCAUCCAAAACUGGCGAGCUAGAGUAUGGUAGAGGGUGGUGGAAUUUCCUGUGUAGCGGUGAAAUGCGUAGAUAUAGGAAGGAACAUCAGUGGCGAAGGCGACCACCUGGACUGAUACUGACACUGAGGUGCGAAAGCGUGGGGAGCAAACAGGAUUAGAUACCCCCGUAGUCCCUGUCUCUUAUAA
rnacentral:rRNA from 1 species